rnacentral:misc_RNA from 1 species
GAAAUGCGAUACUUGGUGUGAAUUGCAGAAUCCCGUGAACCAUCGAGUCUUUGAACGCAAGUUGCGCCCGAAGCCAUUAGGCCGAGGGCACGCCUGCCUGGGUGUCACACAUCGUUUCCCCAACGCAAACAUGUAACAAUGUUGCUAUCCAAGCUUCGUCUGUAAGGUUGCGUUCGUUCGCCGAUCGAUUCUUGUGUGCAGAGAGUUAGCGAGCUCACGCUCCUAACAAUCCAUUCAACCAUCGAUCUCAAAUCAGGCAAGGCUACCCGCUGAAUUUAA